UACGGGGGGGGCAAGCGUUGUUCGGAAUUACUGGGCGUAAAGGGUUCGUAGGUGGCUUGCUAAGUCAGACGUGAAAUCCCUCAGCUUAACUGGGGAACUGCGUCUGAGACUGGUGAGCUUGAGUGCAGGAGAGGAACGCGGAAUUCCAAGUGUAGCGGUGAAAUGCGUAGAGAUUUGGAGGAACACCAGUGGCGAAGGCGACUUUCUGGUCUGUAACUGACACUGAGGCGCGAAAGCGUGGGGAGCAAACAGG
rnacentral:rRNA from 1 species